UGCAGUCGACGGCAGCGCGGACUUCGGUCUGGCGGCGAGUGGCGAACGGGUGAGUAWUACAUCGGAACGUACCCUGUUGUGGGGGAUAACUAGUCGAAAGAUUAGCUAAUACCGCAUACGACCUGAGGGUGAAAGUGGGGGACCGCAAGGCCUCACGCAGCAGGAGCGGCCGAUGUCUGAUUAGCUAGUUGGUGGGGUAAAGGCCCACCAAGGCGACGAUCAGUAGCUGGUCUGAGAGGACGAUCAGCCACACUGGGACUGAGACAC
rnacentral:rRNA from 1 species